GGGAAGGGAGAGAGCUUGCAACCAUCUCCUUUUGAAAGAGGGGGUUGAGGAAAAGAGGAGAGGCUGCCAAGAGAUGUGCUUGAGUAGGAGACGGCCCUGCCCACAGCCAGCCUUGGAUGUCACUCUCUCAAAAGGAAAAUGACAAAUCUGAAGUGAUACCUGAGGAGGUAGCUACCGCUGGACAAGGUCAAGGGGUGUGUGUUCCCAUGGAUGACUCAAGCCAGCCCAGCACUGUUGAUGUAGACAAAGGUUUUGCCAUCACCUUUGUUGUUCUUCUGUUUCUUUUCCUCAUAGUGAUGAUUUUCCGCUGUGCCAAGUUGGUGAAGAAUCCCUACAAGGCCAGUUUCAUAACCACAGAACCAUCCCUGAGCUGAACUAUGAGAAACACCUGGUAGACUCUCCCCUUCACGGGAGCUUCGAAAUCUUUUAUACGGACGAUUAUGAUCCAGACUUUGUAUUAUUUUGCCUCCCUACUUCUCACCCUUCUCACUCUUGUAUUCCACAACAGGCACAUGAGGGUGAGCCCUAAUUCCAGUGGCAAGUGUCUUUAUAAAAGACAGAAGAGAAGACACAUGGAGACAAUGGGAAAGGCCAUGAGAAGAUAGAGACAGAGAUUGGAGUCAGGCAACCGCAAGGUCAAGAACUCUUACCCCGAACCACCAGAAACAACGACGCAAGGAAGGAAUCUCCCCAGAGUCUCUGGAGGGAGUGCAGCCCCGCCAACACCUUGAGGUUGGACUUCUAG